UUCUCCACCUUUAACACUGAGUCCCUCUCGUCGUCGCCGGGCUCAGGAACAAAUGAGAGUGGCCGUGGGAGGACGGGGUUUUAGCAGCCAGGCGGCGGGGCCACCAAAAGAACCCCUCAAAAAGAGGAGAAACCCCAAACUACCUAGAACGACCAGCACAACACUACAUACACAUACAUUCACACAUACGCACGCACACAUAUGCAUACAGACACUCACAUAUACAUAAAGCCACACGCACGCACAUGCAUACACACAUGUGCAUGCAGACGCCCACAUAUCCAUACACGCACACAUGCAUACACAUACAUACAGCCACACACACACAUGCAUACACACAUACACGCCUCCUCUAGCCGCUUCCAGCAGCUCUUCCUAGAAAUCUUUGGUUCAAAUAAAUGACUGCUGCUCCCCCCUCCCCAUCUCCUCCUCCUGCCAACUGCGUGACAUUGGGUGACAAUAUCAGCAGCGCGGCAACAACUACCAGGCCAUCAGGAAGAGCUAAGAGCAGCAAAUCAGCAGCCGAGCUGGGAGCACCAAACACCCCGGGCUUAUCCAAACUUUCCAGGUUCCCAGCCAGUCCCGCGCCGCGGGGGGCUCGAGGUGCUGCCAGACUACUCUUUAGCUGCUCCAGACCUUCUCCUUGCCUUCUCCUGGGCUGAGAAACCUGGCUUCUCGGGCAGCUGGCAAGGCUCCUGCACCCCGCCCCCCCCCCCCGCCCUGCCUCCAGGAGAGGGGCCCUGCUCAGUGGCAGGCGAGAUCUGCCCCAGUCCCGGGGCAGGGCUGCUCCUGCCCGGCCCGCGCUGCCCGCUAGGACGCGGAGGUCCCUCUCCGCCUCUGCUCCCCCCGCCCUGAUCGGGGCCUUCCCGGGGCCCCGCGGCUCAGCCCCACCUGCGCGCCGGGCGGCAGGGCAGGGUAGGGGCCCUGGAGCUCUGGCUCCCCUCCUCCUGGGGCCAGGACAGACGGAGGGGUUGCAUGCCCGACGGAAAGCGGCGAUCGGCUCGAGCCCCGCCGGCUGCCGCCCGCCAGCCCGGGGCAGGCAGGAUCGCUUCCUCCCCGCGCUCUAGCGAGCCUCUGGGCCCCCGAGCCGGCCGCCUGCCCCGCUCGCCAGGCAAGCAGAGAGCUCCCAACCUCCGAUCGAAGGGGGCCCGAAGAGGCAGGAGUGCCCCCACCCACCCCCCUACAAGGCUCCCCCAGCCUGGGGAAACAACCGCGGGGCUGGGCGAAGCGCAGUGUCACAUUACAAGGUUACAGUUUUAACUCUGGUUCUGCGAAGUCCUGGAUUCACAUCGGCAGCGCUGGCGGGUCCAAGCCUGGCCCUGCGGCUCCCAGCUGCUCCAGGGAGACGAGCGAGGGUGGCUUCAGUGCCCGGCCGUGGGCAGCGCGAGGCCGGGCGAUGCGGCUCCGGAGCGCUCCGGCAGCAGCAUAUUUGAACAGCAGCCUACUUCAAACUGAUUCAGAAUACUGAAGAACUCAUUGCUACAAGAACUCUUCAAGACCAAACGUUUCAUAGGAUUAAGUAAAACAGACAUUAACUUGACUAAUGAAAAAAAAAUCCUUUUAUAUACAGCAGGAGAGAAUUUGCAGUAAAUUUCCCCAUGCUCUUGAGCAUAACACAAAUGCUAACUGGUGGGAUUAGACAGAAACAUUUCUAAUGAGAAGGUUACUCCACAAUUUUAUUGUGUGUUUUUUGUACCUUCCACUUGAACAUCUGGGGCUGGCCCCUGUCAGAAACAGGACACUGGACUAGAUGAUCUGUUACUCCAAUUAGUUAUAGCAGUUGCUCUGUGAGAAUAAAGAAGAACAGGAUUUGGUCCAUAGCGUGUGCUAUAGUGGUAAUACUAUAUAUUGUAGCAUUGUUAUGUUUGUUCAUUAUAGUUUUCAAGCUACAUGGUUGAUCACUAUUUCAUAUUUUUCACCUGAUCUACAUGCCAAGCUGCUAUUGAUAUAGGUGAGAUUUCUGUAAUGCAGAAACAAAAGUGAAUUUAGCCGAGGAUAAAAAACAUUAGAUGUUAUAACUCCUGCCCUAUGCUCUUCAUUAGUUUGAUAUGCAGACUUAGUUGAUUCAGUUUAUGAGGCUUUUUAUACUGUGUGUAUCUGUACAAAUAUUUGGCAUAUUAUAUUUCUUUAAUCUUU